AAAUGGGCUUAUGAGAUUGGGCAC
rnacentral:siRNA from 1 species